ACACGUAGGGCGCAAGCGUUGUCCGGAUUUAUUGGGCGUAAAGAGCUCGUAGGCGGUUUCGUAAGUCGGGUGUGAAAACUCAGGGCUCAACUCUGAGACGCCACCCGAUACUGCGAUGACUUGAGUCCGGUAGAGGAGUAGGGAAUUCCUGGUGUAGCGGUGAAAUGCGCAGAUAUCAGGAGGAACACCGGUAGCGAAGGCGCUACUCUGGGCCGGUACUGACGCUGAGGAGCGAAAGCAUGGGGAGCAAACAGGAUUAGAAACCCCAGUAGUCC
rnacentral:rRNA from 1 species